AUGAACGCUGGCGGCGUGCCUAAUACAUGCAAGUCGAGCGAACAGACGAGGAGCUUGCUCCUCUGACGUUAGCGGCGGACGGGUGAGUAACACGUGGAUAACCUACCUAUAAGACUGGGAUAACUUCGGGAAACCGGAGCUAAUACCGGAUAAUAUAUUGAACCGCAUGGUUCAAUAGUGAAAGACGGUUUUGCUGUCACUUAUAGAUGGAUCCGCGCCGCAUUAGCUAGUUGGUAAGGUAACGGCUUACCAAGGCAACGAUGCGUAGCCGACCUGAGAGGGUGAUCGGCCACACUGGAACUGAGACACGGUCCAGACUCCGACGGGAGGCAGCAGUAGGGAAUCUUCCGCGAUGGGCGAAAGCCUGACGGAGCAACGCCGCGUGAGUGAUGAAGGUCUUCGGAUCGUAAAACUCUGUUAUUAGGGAAGAACAAAUGUGUAAGUAACUAUGCACGUCUUGACGGUACCUAAUCAGAAAGCCACGGCUAACUACGUG
rnacentral:rRNA from 1 species